CAUUUUCAUUGGUAUUGAGGAUCCUAUAGGUAAGGUAGAUCUUGGCUUCAUUUUCAACCAAACUGCAUGACUGCUUAAUAUUUCAAGACUAAUAUAUUUACUUGUCUGUCUCUUUUUUUCAAAAUUUAUAUUGACCAGGAACAUAUCUAGGGUUAUAGGAAAGGGGCGUAAGUGUCCCAUAUGGUAAAAAGAAGCUGAGAUAUGCAAAUUUUUUUUACGAUUAAAAGAAAUGCUUAAAACAUAUUUAUUUUCCAAUCGAAGGGGUAUCUCAAUGCCCCACCUGAUUUCCCUUUGUUGAUAAAAUAAGUAUAGGAGUUAAUACAGUACGUGUUGAAUGUUUGCUUUGUGUGAUGUUUUGUAUAUAAAAAAGAAGAUGUGGUAUGAUUGCCAAUGAGACAACUGUCCACAAGAGACCAAAAUGACACAGACAUUAACAACUAUAGGUCACUGUAUGGCCUUCAACAAUGAUCAAAGCCCAUACCGCGUAGUCAGCUAUAAAAGGCCUUGAUAAGACAAUGUUAAACAAUGCAAAUGAGAUGUAUGCAUGUUAAAGUAUGUUGUCAGAGCUCGUGUGUUAUUGAAAUUGUUGUCAACUGUAUAUGUGUGCAAACAUAAAUUAAUUUCUCAAUUAUUUACUUACUCACUGAC
rnacentral:lncRNA from 1 species